GAUGAAUGCUGGCGGCGUGCCUAAUACAUGCAAGUCGAGCGAACAGACGAGGAGCUUGCUCCUCUGACGUUAGCGGCGGACGGGUGAGUAACACGUGGAUAACCUACCUAUAAGACUGGGAUAACUUCGGGAAACCGGAGCUAAUACCGGAUAAUAUAUUGAACCGCAUGGUUCAAUAGUGAAAGACGGUUUUGCUGUCACUUAUAGAUGGAUCCGCGCCGUAUUAGCUAGUUGGUAAGGUAACGGCUUACCAAGGCAACGAUGCGUAGCCGACCUGAGAGGGUGAUCGGCCACACUGGAACUGAGACACGGUCCAGACUCCUACGGGAGGCAGCAGUAGGGAAUCUUCCGCAAUGGGCGAAAGCCUGAUGGAGCAACGCCGCGUGAGUGACGAAGGUCUUCGGAUCGUAAAACUCUGUUAUUAGGGAAGAACAAAUGUGUAAGUAACUAUGCACGUCUUGACGGUACCUAAUCAGAAAGCCAUGGCUAACUACGUGCCAGCAGCCGCGGUAACAC
rnacentral:rRNA from 1 species